rnacentral:rRNA from 1 species
CCCGUGGCUUGGGUGUGGGCGUGAACCCUAGCCCCCAGUCCACAGCCGCCACACCCGUCCUCCGGUCCUCCCCGCUCCCAAUCUCCUCUCCCACGCCGCCGCCUCCCCGCUCCCCGCUCGCCUCAGCCACCUCCUGUGCUCCCUCGCGCCACCGACUCCCUCCCUCCUCCCUCCCUCGUCACCGCAGCCGACCACCUGCCGUCACUUAGGCCCCCAUGGCGGCUGCCGGGUCGGGGUGGAGGCAAUAGGCCAUGGAGAAUCUGGUGGUGUCUGUGGGCGCAACAGGGGUAGAUGGAGCGUCGGAUGCGGGCGGGCUCCCACCCUUAGGCUCCACGACGGAUGCCAGUUCAGAGGGCGAAAGCAGAAAGCGGUGGCGUGUCCUGCGCUUGUGGGCGGAAGCAGCGAGGUUGGUCGAGCGGUGAUUGUGUCCGGGGUCAGUAGCUGAAGGAGGCUCGCUGACUGGAACAGUAGGAGGAGCGCCUCGAGGAGUCGAAGGGAGAGGUCGUGCAGGCCAGACAAAGAAGAGCAAGGACGAUAAAUAUUCAAUCAGCCCUAUGUUUUCUUCUCGAUGCACCUCGGCAUGAGGAGUCGUGCUAGGCAUCCUGGGGUGAUUCAAGAUGCUCAGUGUACCACACUGCAUGCUACACAGGUCAAUUGUGCAGGUUGCUCUAAAAUACACUAAUUUAGACACGACCACUUGUCUGCAGCAAUUUCUUACUCUCAGUGCAAACGUACUUCUUUCUUUCUUUUUAUCAAAUGCACUCCUGCUUCACUCCAACUCCCAACUAUAGUUGCUGCAGACCAGCUCAUGGUGUGGGAAGCAUCUCAUAUUGUUCACUGAAUCUAUUGAUGAAUCUGAAGCAAUUCAAGAGGUGGAGCAAAAACUAUUUAUGCCUAUAGGUUGUCCGAACUACACCUUUAAUUCUAAUUACCUUGUUUGGUCUCCUUCUGUGUGAUAUCACUUUGUUCUGUAUAGUUGUCACUGGGACCUAUAUAUUACUUCUUGCAUGAAUCAUGGAUGUAUGAAGACAUGAAGUCAGAUAUAAUAUAAAACAAAACCUAUAUAUUACUUCUUGCAUGAAUCAUGGAUGUAUGGAGACAUGAUGUCAGAUAUAAUAUAAAAGAAAAUGCAUAUGAAUACUUUCAAGACCGAUCUUUGUGUUCAUUUACAAGAAGAUACAUUAUAAUAGUACUAAUGGACGCAUUUGUCCACUGAUAUGUUCAUUUAAUUUUGUAACCUAUGUUUUUCAUCUCAUGUACCAUUAGGAACAUUUGGUAGAUAAUUAUUUUAGUCAAGACGCAACAUGUUGUUUUGAUGUAUUUUGCUAUCGAUAUUCUGAAAUUGUUUUGUAUACUUUGUUUUGUUACAAAGCAAACAUGUGGGUUUAUGGUCACCUCAUUUCUAUAUGCAUACUUUAUAUAUGUGUUGAUGAUUUUGUGGUAGUCAAUUACUAAGUCUUCUCUUUAUAUUUUUCCACAAUAAGUGAAAUGAAAGGCCACAAACAACGCUUCUCCGGGAAGUGAAUUUUAUGGUGCCUUGCAUUCUGCUCAUUUGACGCAAUUGUUCAUCACAAAGAGGAGGGGAGAAGUCUACCCUUGGGAAAUGGGUGCCUCUCCAGUCAAGCGAGCGACGACAAAUCCAACUGGAAAGGGCUCUGUGGUGAUCUUCAUGUUAUCAGUAACUAUACAUGAGUUUCCUUGCUAACAGUUGUUAUCUUUCAAGGUUGCAAGUUUAGCCCUAUAUGAAAUACAACAUUCAAGCAAAUAAUUUGUGCUUUAUCUUUUGAAAUGCAUGUGCAGCAUGUUUUUUUUCUCUUUUAUCCAAGCUACUAUGCAAAAUUGUAUUGUUUUACGGCCAUUUGGUUCAUAGGAGUGAGCUUUGUAGGACUGGGAUAAUACAUGCAUGUGCAGUAUUAUAGAUACACAGUUAGCUGUCGAACAAUUCUUAUUUGUAGUUCUCUGAAAUAUUACUUCCUGACUUUAAAUUUACCUUCUUUCUUAUCCAAGUACAAGCAAAGGGAUUUAUAGCUGGUGAAGAGCAGCAAGGCAAGGCCAUUGCCCCGGCUGUUGAGCUUGAAAAGUUCGUAUGGAAUAUGCAAAAAAAUAUUUUUUUCCGUUAUGUUCUGUUGGAAUUUGUCACAUUUCUUUUGUGAAAGAAUGUGCCAUUGUCUAAUAUAUUUGUCAAACAAAAAAAUAGUUGCAUAUACUAGACUGGAUGGUUUGAGAAACUACGGGCACUAUCAAGAGUGUGUUAUAGGAAAUUUGUUUAAUUACAUAUAUCAUAUAUGUUCUGCUCUUAAGAGAUUAGUUUAGUUACAUGUAUAUUCUGCUUUGUGGUGUCACCCCUACAUCUAUUCAUGCAUAAUGAAUUUGGUGGUGUCAUUCUUUAUAUUGCAACAGGUUAAACAAUCUUGUGAUUGUAAUAUUUUUUUGGUGUUGCCAUAAAAUUAGAAACAUUUAUUGAAAUUGUUCGGUAAUGCAGUUUUAUGAUAUCGAGUGCCUUAGCCUUUGGUUGGAUAUAGAGUUUGAAAACAAUAUCUAGGUUGGAGCACACUAUGCUACAUCAAAAAGGACCUACAUAGCUAAUCAUGUAUGCUUGCUGAGAGGUGAACUUAGCAAAAUUGAGGAUGUCAGCUUUUACAUUUUGUCAUGCUUGGCUUAGAUAAGAUGUAUCCAUCCUUUUUUGUGUUUGUACCAAAGCUUCCUUGCUUUUAGAGGAUUUUGUGCAAGCUUUGCAUUUUCUUUGCCUGAGGCUACAAAUGCAUAUUUUCAUUUGUUCUGGUAGUUUUAUUACCUUCGGAACAGUCACAUGCAUGAGGCAGUGAGUUUGGACAAGGUGGAGCAGCGUCGACUGUCACACACACUAAUGGAGAUUGGGAUGUCUACCUUCCUAUUGACGAUCUUAUAAUUCAUCUGCUAACUGACAGAUCAGAUUUUGGCCAUAUAAUUUCUGGUGUCUGGAAGUCUAAAACUGAAGAUAGGGCAGAUUGUUUUGUUUAUGAUUACUUGGAGAUCUCGUGGCUUGCUGUCCAUGGAUCAGUCAGACCUACGGCAACAUCAACUCAUUGAUUCUAGAGGCCAUGGUUCUCGAGGUGAACUCUGAAUCUCUGAUGCAAUUGCAGUGGAGGCUAGAGCCUGCCAAGUGAUGCAGAAGAUGGAACCAUAUAGUGCAACUGACUUUUCAGAUUAUUUAUUCCUCUUGUAAAACUUCUUUCUCAUCCAUGUAAUCCCUGCACAUCUCAAAUCCUCGUCCGCCUUAACCUUGAUUUCGGCACAUACGACUUCAGGAUAGUUGUCAUAUUUCUUUUAGAGGAUCUGCACCUCAAGGAAAUUAGAGAAUGCUGAUUUAAAAACAAAGUAUAUGUAAGCUAUUAGGAAGCCUGAGAGAUUCAUAAAAAUGGUAAGCAUUGUAAUGGAUGUUUUGCAAGAUAAACAUUAUUUGACUGUCUCCCCUUAAUUAGUGGGACUGGUGAGUAAUGUAGAAUCUUUAUUUUAGCAGUCUUUAAGGUGCAAAACAUGUGUUGUAUGAUACCAGUUUCUUGCUUUAUUUCGUUAACCGAUCACAACUACCAUUUCAGUGAACACAUUAUUAGCUGGAAAUUGUACAUUAGAAACUCUUGACAACACAUUGCAAGUUCCAUGUUGGGAUCCUUCGCUAUAUAUUCUAGACAGAAGAUUGAAUGGAAAAUCAAGAUGAACAUUUGUGUGUGAGAGAAUUUAUAUCUCUUUACUUAGACUAAAAUUUAAUGUAGUAAUUCUCAGCCUGAGAGCUAUGAGAUGACGCUUGAUGAACCCUAGAGAGAGUUUGACAGUACAAAAUGAAGAGAAAUAUUGGAAUCAUGUCAGUCCUACUUCGUAGCUAUACAGGAGCCAGUUUUCCGUUUGAUCCGAGAUAUAUUUGCUGCUAUACCAAAGUGCGAUUUUUUUAUAGGGGAAACAUUUUCCUACAUUUUCUUAAAACAAUAUUGUCCUUCUAUGGUAGCAAACUCUGGUCAAGUAUCUUUCAUUUCGUAUACUGAGAAGUAGCUUUACUUUUUCUCGAGAGUAUGGUUUUGUUAACUGCUAAAUGCUAAGGUUCCUUUGUUUGUUGACAUAAAUUUCCCUGAUUCCUUCUGAUCCGGAAAAGCUUACUUUGGUAUUGUUUCUAUUCAGUUUUGCAUGCUUGCUCAUAGAUAAUGCAUCCCACCAGAACGGCAAUGCUUAUAGUUGCAGCAAUUAUGUUAUACUUCUGCACUACACCUCAUGCGUGUGUUCAUUGCAUCAUUAUGGUGUCCACUUGGAUUGUCAUAUUAAUAAUUGUAAAGGUGAAAUAGGUAUAAAAAUGGAUAUGAAGUAAUGCCAAGUUAAAAGUGAAUUUUGUUAGACUGAAUAUUUUUUCGUGGUAUUGUGCUCCAGUGAUUUGAAAAUUUGCUAUGCACCAUUAUUGUAUUAGAAAGAUGCAGAGUAUUAGCCUUACAUAACUCUCUUCUAUGUGUUCUUGCACCUCCGGAUCGCUGUUUUUGGCCUAGGACCAUUUACAUGUCAAACAUGACAUUUAUGUGUCAAUUAAAUAUUUUCCAUUACUGUUCUUUUUUUUUUUUGCAACUUUGAGUUGUUCCAUCCCACCCAUGUAUGGUCUGAAGAGAAUAAUUUUUAAUUUGGCUGCUCUUAUUCAGAAAAGUUCAUCACCAUCUGCUGCUGUUUGUGUGCUUGAUUUAUGUCAUUUUGUCAAGUGGCAUUAGCCACAUCAUAUCUACCUUCUAAAUAGCCACAUUGCUUUAUGGAAUGGAUGCAAAGUAGCUGAAUGGAACCCACAGGUGUAGUUUUUAUGGCGAGUUUUACAAGGUUUUACAUUUAUUCUAUGGGUCGUGGUUGAUAUAGUUUUGGUGUUCUGAGUGUAACCUUUGUUUGUGCCUUUCUUUUACCGGACUAUGUUAUAGAAAGAGUCAAGAUACUUCAACAAUGGUAGCCCAAUGGGGUAGUUCCUAAGUAUGUUUUGUUUAUCAAAAAAGAAGUUUCUGAAGUAUUGCUGGGAGAGAUGGCCAGACUGCUGGACCACCCUACGAGAAAUCAAUGGCAUGAAUGUGCUUACUUCUACAGACUUUGUGGCAUAAGCAAAAAUACUUAGACAUGUCUUGCCUCCCUCCGAAAGAAACCACAACUAUGAUUUACCAUCUCAAGUUUACCCUUCCAUUGUAGCAGACCAACAUGUCCUUGUUUCUUUAAUUGAUUUCUCAUUUCAUGUUUGCACUUCUAUUAACAGAACAACAUGUCAUAAACGUGGUGCUGGGCAAACAGAAGAGAUGUUGUACAGAGUGACUUCAUAACUGAAGAAUAGACAAACGUUGUGCAAGGCAUUUUUGUUUAGUUCCUUUCAAAAAAGAAGGAAUUACAGUGCAUCUGACCUGUAAAGGAGUGUGACGGACAAAAUGCUAUGAAUCAGAGGAGUGGGAGGGAAGAGUUUACCAACAACUUUUGAAGGGACAAAGUGUGACCUGGAUUCCAGAAACAAAAUGUGACCUGGAUUCCUAAGUUAUAGCCAACAUAGCAAAAUUGUAUAGAGAAUGCCCGCAUUUUGGAAACUCUACAUAGUUUGAGGCUACGU